rnacentral:rRNA from 1 species
GUGGGGGAUAUUGCACAAUGGAGGAAACUCUGAUGCAGCGACGCCGCGUGAGUGAAGAAGUAUUUCGGUAUGUAAAGCUCUAUCAGCAGAGAAGAUAAUGACAGUACCUGACUAAGAAGCCCCGGCUAACUACGUGCCAGCAGCCGCGGUAAUACGUAGGGGGCAAGCGUUAUCCGGAUUUACUGGGUGUAAAGGGAGCGUAGACGGAAUGGCAAGUCUGAAGUGAAAUCCUGCGGCUUAACUGCAGAAUUGCUUUGGAAACUGUCAAUCUGGAGUGUUGGAGAGGUAAGCGGAAUUCCUGGUGUAGCGGUGAAAUGCGUAGAUAUCAGGAAGAACACCGGAGGCGAAGGCGGCUUACUGGACAAUAACUGACGUUGAGGCUCGAAAGCGUGGGAAGCAAACAGGAUUAGAAACCCGUGUAGUCC